AUGUUAGGACAACCAAUUAACCUUCUUAGUUGGAAUGUAAGGGGAUUAAACUGCCCAAACCGACGGGCCACUGUUCACGAGACUAUCGCUGCAACUUCGUGUCAUUUGGCUUGCUUACAGGAGACCAAACUUGAGGUGUUGGACCAGUUUACGGCUUCCUUCCUGGGAGGGGCCAGGCUCAAAAGCUUUGCCCACCGGCCGGCACUGGGCACUAGGGGCGGCAUCCUGCUGCUUUGGGAUGACGGCGUUGUGGCUGUGUCUGAUAUUGUGCUCUCGGUGUACUGCCUAUCGGCCACAGUCCUCAUCCGCGAGUCUGGGGUUUCCUUCAAGAUCACGGUGGUCUAUGGCCCUACUGCUUCCUCUUGCAAAAACGCCUUCUUCGCGGAGCUCCUGGCUUAA
rnacentral:rRNA from 1 species